CCUACGGGAGGCUGCAGUGGGGAAUAUUGCACAAUGGGGGAAACCCUGAUGCAGCAACGCCGCGUGAGCGAAGAAGGCCUUCGGGUCGUAAAGCUCUGUCCUAAGGGAAGAAAAAUGACGGUACCUUAGGAGGAAGCCCCGGCUAACUACGUGCCAGCAGCCGCGGUAAUACGUAGGGGGCGAGCGUUAUCCGGAAUCACUGGGCGUAAAGGGUGCGUAGGCGGCCAAUUAAGCCAGGGGUGAAAGGCUACGGCUCAACCGUAGUAAGCCCUUGGAACGGAAUGGUUUGAGUGGGGGAGAGGAGGUUGGAAUUCCGAGUGUAGGGGUAAAAUGGGUAGAUAUGAGGAUGAACCCCAGUGGCGAGGGCGACUCUCUGAACUGUACCUGACGCUGAGGCACGAACGCGUGGGGAGCAAACAGGAUUAGAUCCCCCGGUAGUC
rnacentral:rRNA from 1 species